rnacentral:lncRNA from 1 species
ACCAGUCCACCACUGACAUUUGUAGUGGCUGCAUAUCCACAUACCAAAAGUCUCCCUACUCUCUAAUCAGCACCUACUGCUCAGAGCAACCACUUGCAUUAUAUUAUUUAUGCUACAGCAAAGGUCUUCCUACCAGACAUCCAAGCAAAGGGGUUCCUACCAGACUUCACUUCUUCGGCUUGUACUUGGCCUUGAUCUCGUCGUACAGG